AAUAGAUACCCGGGUAGUCCACGCCGUAAACGAUGAGUGCUAAGUGUUAGAGGGUUUCCGCCCUUUAGUGCUGCAGCUAACGCAUUAAGCACUCCGCCUGGGGAGUACGGCCGCAAGGCUGAAACUCAAAGGAAUUGACGGGGGCCCGCACAAGCGGUGGAGCAUGUGGUUUAAUUCGAAGCAACGCGAAGAACCUUACCAGGUCUUGACAUCCUCUGACAACCCUAGAGAUAGGGCUUUCCCCUUCGGGGGACAGAGUGACAGGUGGUGCAUGGUUGUCGUCAGCUCGUGUCGUGAGAUGUUGGGUUAAGUCCCGCAACGAGCGCAACCCUUGAUCUUAGUUGCCAGCAUUCAGUUGGGCACUCUAAGGUGACUGCCGGUGACAAACCGGAGGAAGGUGGGGAUGACGCCAAAUCAUCAUGCCCCUUAUGACCUGGGCUACACACGUGCUACAAUGGAUGGUACAAAGGGCUGCAAACCUGCGAAGGUAAGCGAAUCCCAUAAAGCCAUUCUCAGUUCGGAUUGCAGG
rnacentral:rRNA from 1 species